rnacentral:rRNA from 1 species
UUGACCUCGGAUCAAGU